rnacentral:rRNA from 1 species
CCGGCGACCGGCGCACGGGUGAGUAACACGUAUGAAACCUGCCCGUAGCCAGGGGAGUAAGCGGAAGAAAUUCCGUCUAAUACCGCGUAACAACCCAUGGAGGCAUCUCUGUGGGUUUAAAGGAAGCGAUUCCGGCUACGGGAUGGUCAUGCGUCGCAUUAGCUUGUUGGCGGGGUAACGGCCCACCAAGGCGACGAUGCGUAGGGGUUCUGAGAGGAAGGUCCCCCACACUGGUACUGAGACACGGACCAGACUCCUACGGAAGGCAGCAG